CUCUGUGUCUAUAGCGUAUCGGAACCACUUCAUCUCCAUUCCGAACAUGAAUGUGAAACGAUACUGCGGUGACAAUACUUGAAGAGAAGUCUUCUGGGAAAAUAGCACGACGCAGAGG
rnacentral:rRNA from 1 species